AACGCACAUUGCGCCUCUCUUUACCGGGAGGCAUGCCUGUCUGAGCGUCAUUUAAACCAAUAAACAUUUGUUUGUUUGUUUUGGGUCUCGCCUUUGGGCGUUAUCUUAAAAUGAUGGGUCUAAGUUAGCGGACGAGAUCCUUCAAGGACUAACCGUGAAUCAGACCAGAUAAAUCUCUGAUUUUGACCUCAGAUCAGGUAGGGAUACCGCCUGAACUUAA
rnacentral:misc_RNA from 1 species